rnacentral:lncRNA from 1 species
AGGGGAACAGGAAUCUUUUCCAAACUCCUUGUUUUUUCCUUUCAAUCCCACCCAGUAGAUCAUACAAGAAAUUCCCCGACACCGGCGGCGGCUUUCAUCAGCUGUCGAAGAGCCCCUCCUUGAGGAGCAGCCCAAACAAGAGGACGACAAAGCCGAGCAGGGUGCACUGCGAGCUGGUGAUGAUGGUCUGCGAAUACGCGGACAUGGUAAUCGCCGCGCCGAGUAGCCCGAUCAGGAGGCAGCUCGUGUUCCUGUUCAUCUUCCCCUUCCUCUUUCAUACGCCUUUCGAUCUAUCCCGAUGCACCUUUUAUGGGCCUCCAGAGAGAUUCAGGGAGAGAAGGAGAGGGAAGGGGGAGAGGGAGGGAGGGAGGCGAUGGGAAGUCAACCUUCCGGAGAUCUUCGCUAAAUCGAAAGGGUGCGCCCUUUGCCGACAUCCGAGGGCUCGUUUCCCUCUAGGCGAAGAAGAGCUCUCCCCCAAAUGUCCAUGAGAUGCAGAAAACAGAAAAUUUUAAGGCCCCCCCCCCCCGUCGCUUCGUCAGCGCCGGGAGGCUUCAGUCGGACUUUGACCUGUCCAAAUCAAAGCAGCAACGCAG